GACGAACGCUGGCGGCAUGCCUAACACAUGCAAGUCGAACGGAGAUUACUUCGGUAAUCUUAGUGGCGAACGGGUGAGGAAGGCGUGGGCAACCUGCUCUCUAGAUGGGGACAACAUCCCGACAGGGGAGCUAAUACCGAAUGUGACAGCAAUCUCGCAUGAGGAUGCAGUAAAAGAUGGCCUCUAUUUAUAAGCUAUCGCUAGAGGAUGACCAUGGGUCUGAUUAGCUAGUGGGUGGGGUAACGGCCUACCAAGGCGAUGAUGCGUAGCCGGUCUGAGAGGAUGAUCGGCCACACUGGUACUGAGACACGGUCCAGACUCCUACGGGAGGCAGCAGUGGGGAAUAUUACGCAAUGGGCGAAAGCCUGAUCAAGCCAUGCCGCGUGAGUGAAGAAGGAAUUCGGACUGUAAAGCUCUUUUGUUUUUGAGGAAGGGCAGUAUUUUAAAACCUAACCGUUAUGACGGUACCAAAAGAAUAAGCCCAGGCUAAAUUCGUG
rnacentral:rRNA from 1 species